AAAUUUAAAUAAUAAACUAGGAUUAGAUACCCUAUUAUUUUAAAUGUUAAUUAUAUUUACCAGGGUACUAUUAGUUAAGGUCUUUAAACCCAAAGAAUUUGGCGGUAUCUCAUUCCAUUCAGAGGAASCUACCCCGUGAUUGAUAAUACACGAUUUACUCUACUUAAUUUAUUUGUUUGUAUAUCUCCGUUAUCAGAGAAUCUUUUUAGAGUUAKAAUUCUCAAGAUUUAUARUUAUAAAAUAUUUCAGGUCAAGGUGCAGCUUAUAGUUAAGAGGAGGUGGGUUACAAUAGGUUUUUGUUUAUAACGGAUUUGAUGGUGAAAUACUAUUAAUGAAGGUGGAUUUGAUAGUAAUUUAAUUUAUUUAAUUUAACUGAUAUUGGCUCUGAGGUGUGUACACAUCGCCCGUCGCUCUCAUUAUUGAUUAUUCUAUUUUAUUAUUUUAAGGUAGCUUCAAUUAUAGAUGAGAUAAGUCGUAACAUAGUAGAUGUACUGGAAAGUGUAUCUAGUAAGAGUUU
rnacentral:rRNA from 1 species